rnacentral:rRNA from 1 species
UAAUGUCGUAGGGAAACUGCCUGAUGGGAGGGGGAUAACUACUAGGAACGGUAGCUAAUACCGCAUAACGUCGCAAGACCAAAGAGGGGGACCUUCGGGCCUCUUGCCAUCAGAUGUGCCCAGGUGGGAUUAGCUAGUAGGUGGGGUAACGGCUCACCUAGGCGACGAUCCCUAGCUGGUCUGAGAGGAUGACCAGCCACACUGGAACUGAGACACGGUCCAGACUCCUACGGGAGGCAGCAUG